GCCGGGCAUGGUGGCACAUGCCUGUAAUCCCAGCUACUCAGGAGGCUGAGGCAGGAGAAUUGCUUGAACCCAGGAGGCAGAGGUUGCAGUGAGCCGAGAUUGUGCCACUGCACUCCAGCCUGGGCGACAGAGCAAGACUCUGUCUCGG
rnacentral:SRP_RNA from 2 species